UUUCUGGAGGACUAACAAAAUUGUUGUAAUUAUUCAAAUAUUUCUUUCCUUGGAAGAUGUUCUUAUAUAGUUUUGGGGGAAAACCCAUGUGCAUGUAUUAUGUAAGUAGUAAAUAGUUUUACUAUUUCUUUGGCUUCUUUUCUGACAUUGAAAAAUUUUGUUUUCAGAUUGUAUGGUCAGUUUAAUGUUAAAUUCAUGGAUUCUAACACUCAUGUACUUGGAGAUCGUGGAAAGACAAAGUUUCAUUUGCUAAACGUUUAUUGAUCUCAUUCGAUAUACCCGGCACUGCUGUAGGCCCUAGAGAUACAGAAGUGGAGGGAAAGUUCCUGUUCCGAGGAAACUAACAUUCCAGCGGAGACACAGACAAGAAGUCCUGGGCGGGGCAGUGCAGUGUAGUAAGGUUAUCCGUGACGUGCUCAGCACAGCACUUGGCAUGUAGGAACUGUUGGUUUAGGGGUUGCUGCUACUACACAUUUGCCUGUGGUGUUUCCUCAGCCAGAAGACGCUCUCCUUUCCUACCCAGCUUAACUAGCCUUUCAGCCAUCACCUCUUUUAGGAAACCUGGCUUUCCGUCCCUCCUUGAAAUUUGACUUUAGGGCUGCGCCCCUUGAGCAAAGAUGCCAGUCUGCCUGCCUCCUCACGGGGUCGGGGGUGGGGGGCUUAAAAGAAGGCUGUCACUCAACUUCGGUUGUGCAAGUAAGACAAGCACAGCCCUGCACAGGAGUAUAAGAUGAGGAACGGGCCUCCCUGAGACAGGUGGACAAGUGCUUUUUGCCUCCUGGAUAGGUAUUUGAGAGAAUCUGGUCUGUUGCAAGGAGUGGGCACAGCCAUGUCCCAAAGCAUGUUCCCUCCUUUGUUUGGAAGAAGACUUACGCCUGACCUCAGGAUGGCCUCUCCCUGCUCUUAGUCUGGUGUGGCCAGUUAGCUCAGGAAUUUGGCAAGUGGAGGCAGGUCCACUGGUGUAUUUUCCCGUUACCUGACUCUGGGUGGAGCGUAGCUACUUAGAGCCUGCAGGGGUCAAUACUGGCAAGAAAUGUCUUCUCUGGACCUAAAGGCAGAACAGCUGCUAGUGCUGUGAACUACUGACUUUAUCUGCAAGGGGAACAGGAGGGUUUCACAGAUACUUGCUAAGCGGAAUCACUCAUCUGGAGCCUGUUUUCAGUAGAAGUCCACAGAAUGCCCAGAUAUGAACAGGCUGUUGGGUCAGGUCAGCUCAGGAGUUCUUCGAGAUGCACCAUGCAGGGUCCAUCGUGGAAACAUACUGCAUGUAGUCAUCACGUUCCUGUAUCUCCGCCCUCCAGGAGAAUUCUCCGGUCUUUCGCUGACCUGCAGGUCUCACUCCUGACGCGUGUUGCAGGGUCAGUGUUCGCAGCAGCCCCUCGGCCUGGGUUUUCGGUGUCCCUCCCUUGGACGCAGGAGCUGACCCUGUGAGGGGAGCGUCGAGGAGGAGACGCUGCGCUCUUACGGCCUCCGUCAGCGGCGAGCGAGUCCCGUCCUCUCGUCCCUGUGUCCGCAAGCCUUGGUCGUGGGAGCACCUGCCCGCCUUCUCCGUGGGAAGUUACUUCUCCUUUAUAAUUAUUAAGUCUUUUGUGGGAAAUAGCUUGAAACUUUGUAAAUAUCACAUUACUCAUCAAAUAAGUAAUUAAAGUUAAUAAUUAUAAAUAUAAUUACGAAUAUAGCUAUGACUAUAA